rnacentral:rRNA from 1 species
UACGGAGGGAGCUAGCGUUAUUCGGAAUUACUGGGCGUAAAGCGCACGUAGGCGGCUUUGUAAGUAAGAGGUGAAAGCCCAGAGCUCAACUCUGGAAUUGCCUUUUAGACUGCAUCGCUUGAAUCAUGGAGAGGUCAGUGGAAUUCCGAGUGUAGAGGUGAAAUUCGUAGAUAUUCGGAAGAACACCAGUGGCGAAGGCGGCUGACUGGACAUGUAUUGACGCUGAGGUGCGAAAGCGUGGGGGAGCAAAACAGG